UACGGAGGGUGCGAGCGUUAAUCGGAAUUACUGGGCGUAAAGCGCACGCAGGCGGUUGUUGUAAGCAAGAUGUGAUACCCCGGGCCUCAACCUGGGAACUGCAUUUUGAACUGGCAGACUAGAGUCUUGGAGAGGGGGGUGGAAUUCCAGGUGUAGCGGUGAAAUGCGUAGAGAUCUGGAGGAACAUCAGUGGCGAAGGCGGCCCCCUGGCCAAAGACUGACGCUCAUGUGCGAAAGUGUGGGUAGCGAACAGGAUUAGACUACCCGGUAGUCC
rnacentral:rRNA from 1 species